CGAACCGGGGGAACUGAAACAUCUAAGUACCCCGAGGAAAAGAAAUCAACCGAGAUUCCCCCAGUAGCGGCGAGCGAACGGGGAGGAGCCCAGAGCCUGAAUCAGCAUGUGUGUUAGUGGAAGCGUCUGGAAAGGCGCGCGAUACAGGGUGACAGCCCCGUACACAAAAGCGCAUGUGCUGUGAGCUCGAUGAGUAGGGCGGGACACGUGGUAUCCUGUCUGAAUAUGGGGGGACCAUCCUCCAAGGCUAAAUACUCCUGACUGACCGAUAGUGAACCAGUACCGUGAGGGAAAGGCGAAAAGAACCCCGGCGAGGGGAGUGAAAAAGAACCUGAAACCGUGUACGUACAAGCAGUGGGAGCACAGGUUUACCUGU
rnacentral:rRNA from 1 species